rnacentral:lncRNA from 1 species
ACCGCUGCAGAUCAAAGGUCAGUUUCAAGAAGUGAGUUAAGUAAGUCGUUGGGGAUGAUUUUGGGUGUACAUUUCAUCAUAUCAAGAUCGAGGACCUUGACCUGUUAUGGUUGUGACUAGCAAGGACAGAAUGGUUGUGAUUGUCAAAGUUUGGGAAAUCAUGGAACGUUUGCAUCAUUCGCGCUUUCGUGGUUCUUGUGAAGAGUUAGGAUUUUAGGUUACCCUUCCUCAUGAAGUUACCCGAUCUACAUUACCUAUACCUAAGA